rnacentral:rRNA from 1 species
AGAGUUUGAUCAUGGCUCAGGUUGAACGCUGGCGGCAGGCCUAACACAUGCAAGUCGAACGGUAACAGGAAGAAGCUUGCUUCUUUGCUGACGAGUGGCGGACGGGUGAGUAAUGUCUGGGAAACUGCCUGAUGGAGGGGGAUAACUACUGGAAACGGUAGCUAAUACCGCAUAACGUCGCAAGACCAAAGAGGGGGACCUUCGGGCCUCUUGCCAUCGGAUGUGCCCAGAUGGGAUUAGCUAGUAGGUGGGGUAACGGCUCACCUAGGCGACGAUCCCUAGCUGGUCCGAGAGGAUGACCAGCCACACUGGAACUGAGACACGGUCCAGACUCCUACGGGAGGCAGCAGUGGGGAAUAUUGCACAAUGGGCGCAAGCCUGAUGCAGCCAUGCCGCGUGUAUGAAGAAGGCCUUCGGGUUGUAAAGUACUUUCAGCGGGGAGGAAGGGAGUAAAGUUAAUACCUUUGCUCAUUGACGUUACCCGCGGAAGAAGCACCGGCUAACUCCGUGCCAGCAGCCGCGGUAAUACGGAGGGUGCAAGCGUUAAUCGGAAUUACUGGGCGUAAAGCGCACGCAGGCGGUUUGUUAAGUCAGAUGUGAAAUCCCCGGGCUCAACCUGGGAACUGCAUCUGAUACUGGCAAGCUUGAGUCUCGUAGAGGGGGGUAGAAUUCCAGGUGUAGCGGUGAAAUGCGUAGAGAUCUGGAGGAAUACCGGUGGCGAAGGCGGCCCCCUGGACGAAGACUGACGCUCAGGUGCGAAAGCGUGGGAGCAAACAGGAUUAGAUACCCUGGUAGUCCACGCCGUAAACGAUGUCGACUUGGAGGUUGUGCCCUUGAGGCGUGGCUUCCGGAGCUAACGCGUUAAGUCGACCGCCUGGGGAGUACGGCCGCAAGGUUAAAACUCAAAUGAAUUGACGGGGGCCCGCACAAGCGGUGGAGCAUGUGGUUUAAUUCGAUGCAACGCGAAGAACCUUACCUGGUCUUGACAUCCACGGAAGUUUUCAGAGAUGAGAAUGUGCCUUCGGGAACCGUGAGACAGGUGCUGCAUGGCUGUCGUCAGCUCGUGUUGUGAAAUGUUGGGUUAAGUCCCGCAACGAGCGCAACCCUUAUCCUUUGUUGCCAGCGGUCCGGCCGGGAACUCAAAGGAGACUGCCAGUGAUAAACUGGAGGAAGGUGGGGAUGACGUCAAGUCAUCAUGGCCCUUACGACCAGGGCUACACACGUGCUACAAUGGCGCAUACAAAGAGAAGCGACCUCGCGAGAGCAAGCGGACCUCAUAAAGUGCGUCGUAGUCCGGAUUGGAGUCUGCAACUCGACUCCAUGAAGUCGGAAUCGCUAGUAAUCGUGGAUCAGAAUGCCACGGUGAAUACGUUCCCGGGCCUUGUACACACCGCCCGUCACACCAUGGGAGUGGGUUGCAAAAGAAGUAGGUAGCUUAACCUUCGGGAGGGCGCUUACCACUUUGUGAUUCAUGACCGGGGUGAAGUCGUAACAAGGUA